rnacentral:lncRNA from 1 species
GCCCGUGCUGCCAAGCCGCCUCUCUUCCUGGGCAUCGCCACUCUGCCCAAUUGUCAACUGCUGCCUGAGGCCGGCGAGCUUCAGUGCCCGUGAGCAGAACGUGACCAGUCGGGCUACGGGUCCGAUUUCCACGCCCAGCUGCCCGGCCAGAACGCCGCCACCGUCUACCCGUGCCACCAAGCCGCCUGCUUUCCCUCGCCUA